rnacentral:rRNA from 1 species
AGCUCCAAUAGCGUAUAUUAAAGUUGUUGCAGUUAAAAAGCUCGUAGUUGAAUUUCUGUUCGUAACUCGCUCGAAGCCAUUCGGCGACGUGUGAGUGCGAGCAUUCUUCUACUCCCGGGGGCAACUCCGUGUGGUAGAGCCUUUACUUUGAGAAAAUUAGAGUGUUUCAAGCAAGCGAGUGCUUUGAAUACUACAGCAUGGAAUAAUACAAUAGGACUUCGGGUCUAUUUGUUGGUUUCAGGCCUGAAGUAAUGAUUAAUAGGGACAGUUGGGGGCAUUCGUAUUGGACAGUCAGCGGUGAAAUGCGAUGAUUUGUUCAAGACGAACUACUGCGAAAGCAUUUGCCAAAGAUGUUUUCA